rnacentral:misc_RNA from 1 species
GAAAAAGUUCAAGAUGAGACAAAUGAGCAUCACCAUAGCGAAUGGUGGCUGUCCAAUGUCACUAUAUAUGCUGCUUUGCAUGGAAGAAAAAGAGAGAAAAGCAAAGAAAUUUUACACAAAUCACAUCUCUUCUGUGAUCAUUCUAGAGAAAUUAAGACUCUUUAGUGGCUUUCUCUACAAGCAAAUUCAAAUUCAACUAUGAUAUUUUCUUCUUCUAGGGUUCCAAAUUUCUCGUUUUCAUUUCACUCCACACCAUGAUUCCCUUCUCCAACCACAAUCAGUCUUCCCGCCACCGCCAAUUCCGGCCUCCUCCGCAGCUCAACCACAAUCACCCGCGCCAACCCCGACCCCAACCCCGUUUAUUUUUUGUCAAACUCCUUUCCAACCACCAUCGUAGUGGUGACCGUACGCUUUCAGUUGACUCUAUUGUCUCCGAAUGCAAUCCCAAACCUUGCAAAGUUCAAAUCAGGACCUCUGGUACAGUUGCUGCCAGCCUCUUUUUUGAGCACCAGGCUGACGCUCUCGAUGCCGUCGUUUCCCUCUGGGAGCGCCGGCUUGCUGGGGACCAUCUGUUUACUCCGGUGGUUGGUUUUAAUGUCGACGAUGAUUUUAAUGAGAGACUUAGAAGUUUGUUCCAAUUGCAUGUGGAGAAGCUUCUACAAGGGCAGUCUGUGGGGAAAUUGGAGAGUAAGGUGAAUGAUUUGCUUGUUGAGAUUGAUAAGUUUGCGUGCUUCUUUAGAAAGGCUAGGGACCUUCGAGCUUUCUGUGAGGCUGAUGGAAAGAAGAAGCGGUUGGUGGAAGAGAAGGAUCUAAUUUUGAAUAGGAUUGAGGAGUUUAAGUGCGCAGUGAAGUGUGUGAUGGAUCAUCUGGAGGGGAAGGAGGUUGAGGAUUUGGCCGUUUUGGGGUUUAAAAUUGGCAAGGGUUUUAAUUGGCAUAAAAUACAUAGUUUGCUAUUGAGAGAGUCUAAGCGUCUUGAAGAUGGGUUGCCGAUAUAUGGUUAUAGAAGGGAGAUUUUGCAGCAAAUACAUUUGCAGCAGGUAAUGGUCUUGAUUGGAGAGACAGGUUCAGGGAAGAGUACGCAGUUGGUACAGUUUCUUGCUGAUUCUGGGGUUGCUUCCAGUGGUUCAAUUUUGUGUACUCAGCCUCGCAAAAUUGCUGCAAUUUCCCUUGAAAAAAGGGUUGGUGAAGAAAGCAUUGGAUGUUAUGAGGAUAAUUCAAUUGUCUGCUAUCCAACUUAUUCAUCUGCACAGUGUUUUAAUUCCAAGGUAAUAUAUAUGACUGAUCACUGUCUAUUGCAGCACCUUAUGAAAGAUAGGACUCUGUCUGGAGUUUCAUGCAUUAUUAUAGACGAGGCCCAUGAAAGAAGCUUGAAUACUGAUCUUCUGUUGGCCUUGAUUAAAGAAUUGCUUAUUGAGAGGGGUGACCUAAGGCUUAUUAUAAUGUCUGCAACAGUUGAUGCCAGCAAAUUAUCAGAAUACUUCUUUGGUUGUAGAACCUUUUAUGUGUUGGGGAGAAGCUUUCCUAUUCAAAUCAAAUAUGUUCCUGGUGACUCUGGAGGCUCUUCUGGCCCCUUGCCCAGUGCUAUUGCUCCAUAUGUUUCUGAUGUUGUUAAAAUGGCUAUGGAGAUCCAUCAAGUGGAGAAAGAGGGGGCAAUUCUUGCGUUUUUGACUUCUCAGCUGGAGGUAGAAUGGGCUUGUGAAAAGUUUCAGUCUCCCUCAGCAAUUGCAUUGGCACUACAUGGAAAGCUUUCCCAUGAAGAGCAAUGUCGUGUUUUCCAGAAUUAUCCUGGGAAGAGAAAAGUUAUUUUUGCUACCAAUUUGGCAGAGACAUCCUUGACUAUUCCUGGGGUCAGGUAUGUGGUUGAUUCUGGAAUGGUUAAGGAAAGCAAGUUUGAACCUACAUCUGGUAUGAAUGUCCUCAGGGUUUCCAAGAUUAGCCAGAGUUCUGCUAAUCAACGAGCUGGUCGUGCUGGUCGAACGGAACCUGGAAAAUGUUACCGGCUUUACUCGGAAUCUGAUUACCAGUCAAUGGAUUUCCAUCAAGAACCUGAAAUUCGUAAAGUUCACCUUGGUAUUGCAGUUUUGAGGAUUCUUGCAUUGGGUAUUAAGAAUGUGCUGGAAUUUGAUUUUAUUGAUGCUCCUAGUGGAAAGGCAGUUAACAUGGCCAUCAGGAACCUUGUGCAGUUAGGCGCUGUUGUCCGCAGAGAUGAUACUUUUGAAUUAACUUUGGACGGGCAUUACUUGGUUAAGUUGGGUAUGGAGCCCCGACUUGGGAAGAUUAUUCUUGAAAGCUGCCGUUAUGGUUUGCGUAUGGAAGGAGUUGCUCUUGCCGCUGUUAUGGCAAAUGCAAGUAGCAUAUUUUGCAGAGUUGGUACCAGUGAUGACAAACAAAAAUCAGAUUGCCUUAAGGUACAAUUCUGCCAUCGUGAUGGAGAUCUCUUCACAUUGCUUACUGUGUACAGGGAGUGGGAAAGUGUAUCUCCAGAUAAUAGAAAUAAGUGGUGUUGGAACAAUAGUAUCAAUGCCAAAACUAUGAGAAGAUGCAAAGAGACAGUGCUGGAGUUGGAGAACUGUUUAAAGCAUGAACUUAGCAUCAUUAUCCCAACUUACUGGCGUUGGAGUCCUUAUGUUGUUACAGCCCAUGAUAAAAGUAUGAAGAAGAUUUUACUUUCUUCACUAGCAGAUAAUGUCGCCAUGUACUCUGGAUAUGAUCGUCUUGGUUAUGAGGUUGUUUCUAGUGGGGAAUACAUUCAACUGCAUCCUUCAUGUUCACUGCAAGUUUAUGGUCAAAAGCCGAACUGGGUUGUCUUUGGUGAACUCUUAUCUAUAUCAAGUCAAUAUCUGGUCUGUGUUACUGCUGUUGACUUUGAUUGUUUGUCUGCCUUUAGUCCUCCUUUAUUUGACCUCUCAAAGAUGCGGAGUAAAAAAUUGCAUUUGAGGGUGAUCAGCGGAUUUGGCAGUACUGUUUUAAGAAGGUUCUGUGGAAAGUCAAAUACUAGCUUGCUUUCUCUUGUGUCUCAUGUACAGAAAAAUUGCAUGGAUGAGCGGAUAGGUAUUGAAGUCAAUGUGGAUAAUAAUGAGAUUCUAUUAUAUGCCUCUAUACAAGACAUACAAAAGGUGUAUGGCCUUGUUAUUGAUGCAUUAGAAUAUGAAGUAAAAUUGUUAAGUAAUGAAUGCCUGGAGAAGUGCUUGUAUCAUAGGGGACGGGCUGGUGCUUCUCCCCCAGUAGCACUUUUUGGAGCUGGUGCGGAAAUUAAGCAUAUGGAAUUGGAAAAUAGAAAUUUGAGUGUGGAUGUAUUCCUCUCAAAUGCAAAUCGUGCAGAUGAUAAGGAGGUCUUGGCAUUCUUUGAAAAAUCAGUGUCUGGGGUGUGCAGUUUUCACAGAUUUGCAGGAAGUGGACAGAAUGGUGACCAUAUGGAGAAGUGGGGCAGUGUGACAUUUCUUGCUCCUGAAGCCGCUAUGAAAGCACUAGAGUUCAAUGGGUUUGAUUUAUCUGGUUCUUCACUUAAGUUGUCCCCUGCUAGAUCAUCUGUUGGAGGUAGUAAUAAAUUAUCAUCAUUUGCUGCUUUAAAAGCCAAAGUCACUUGGCCGCGAAGGUACAGCAAAGGGUAUGCGGUUGUCAGAUGUGAAAGGAAUGAUGCUAUGUUUGUUGUUGAAGAUUGCUUUAAUCUGCUGAUUGGGGGCAGGCUAGUUCAUUGCGAGCCUAGCACAAAGGACAUAAACUGUGUUAUUAUCAGAGGACUGGAUAGAGAUACUUCUGAAUUAGAAAUUCUUGAAGUUCUGCAAAUUGCCACAAGUAGGAGAAUUUUGGAUGUAUUUCUGAUACGAGGAGAUGCUGUAAAUAAUCCUCCUCUUGGUGCUUGUGAGGAAGCAAUUCUCAAGGAAAUUGCUCCAUUCAUGCCUAACCAGGGUCCCUUGAGCAAUUACUGUCAUGUUCAGGUCUUUUCCCCUGAGCCAAAGGAUACUUUCAUGAAGGCUUGGAUCACCUUUGAUGGAAGUCUACACCUGGAAGCUGCAAAAGCUCUGCAACAUAUCCAAGGGAAGGUACUUGCUGGUUGUUUAUCAUGGCAGAAAAUGCAGUGCCAGCGGAUUUUCCAUAGUUCUGUGUCAUGCCCUGCUCCUGUUUUUGCAUUCAUUGAGAGGCAGCUAAACUCUUUGCUCAAAAGGUUAACGCGUCGACCUGGUGUUCAUUGCAGUUUAGAAAGGAAUGAAAAUGGUUCCUAUAGAGUGAAGAUAUCUGCUAAUGCAACAAAGAUAGUGGCAGAGUUGAGGAGGCCACUGGAGCAGCUAAUGAAUGGAAAGAUGGUAAAUCAUGGCAGCCUCACCCAAGCAGUUCUGCAGCAUCUUUUCUCCAGUGAUGGCAGAUUACUUAUGAAUUCACUGCAAAAGGAAACUGGAACUUACAUUCUCUUCGAUAGGCAGAACCUCAAUGUUAGGAUCUUUGGUCCAGAGAACAAAAUUGCUCUUGCUGAACACAAGCUCAUAAAAUCCCUUUUAGCUCUCCACGAUAACAAGCAAAUAAAUAUCCCUCUGCAAGGUGGGUUUAUGCCUCACGAUCUUAUGAAAAAAGUAGUUGAGAAAUUUGGACCUGACUUGCAUGGGCUAAAAGAGAAGUUCCCUGAGGCUACAUUUAUGCUUAACACAAGGCGUCAUGUCAUUUCUUUUAGUGGUAAGAGGGAUCUCAGGCCAAGGGUGGAGGAUAUAAUUCAUGAUUUUGCACGAUCCCUUUGUGUCAGUGGAGCUGCUGACCAACCUGAAUUUGAAGCUACUACCUGUCCUAUUUGCUUGUGUGAAGUUGAGGACUGUUACCAGCUUGAAGCAUGCGGACACAAGUUCUGCAGGUCUUGCUUGGUUGAGCAGUUGGAGUCAGCAAUGAGAAGACAUGAUGGUUUCCCUGUACGCUGUGCCCGUGAAGGUUGUGGGAUGCACAUUUGGCUCAUUGAUUUGAAGUCUCUUCUGCCAUGUGAAAUGUUAGAGGACCUUUUCAGGGCCUCUUUGGGGGCAUUUGUUGCAUCUAGUGGUGGCCUUUACAGGUUUUGCCCCUCACCUGACUGUCCUUCUGUUUACCGUGUAUCGGACACGGGGAUGGUUGGCGGUCUAUUUGUAUGUGGAGCAUGCUAUGCAGAGACAUGUACUAGGUGUCACUUAGAGUAUCACCCAUAUGUGUCGUGUGAAAGAUACAAAGAGUUCAAGGAGGAUCCUGAUUUGUCCUUGAAGGACUGGUGCAAGGGAAAAGAGCAUGUUAAGAGCUGUCCAGCAUGCGGGUACAUAAUUGAGAAGGUGGACGGGUGCAACCACAUUGAGUGCAGAUGUGGCAAGCAUAUCUGCUGGGUCUGCUCAGAAUCCUUUAGCAGCAGUGAUGAGUGCUAUGGGCACUUGAGGCUUAUACAUCUCACUAUCAUAUGAAGACCAAGCCAACUAUCCAAUGGUAACCUGCCUGCUUGUACAUAUUUAUGUAUAUAGCUACCUAUUCUUAGCCUAUGUGAUCUAGGAGCAUCUGUAUAUUGGUUUUCACUCUGUACUGUUAUUCGGCUCAAGCUGCCGUCUUGGUCAACAAUGACCACUUGAGUUCAACAGACGGUUGUUUGCUCCAGUUAAGAGUUCUUCAUUUUUAUUAUUUUAGAAUCAAAUGCUCAUCUCCAUUCUUGAUCGAUAUAACUAACCAUAAUUAUUAGCUUGAAUUUUCUGGCUGGUAUAAAGGUCUUCUUUCUUUCUUAGCUUCUGAGUUUAAAUGGAAGAAGUUAAGAAUUAGAGUUCAUCUGCUAACUCUGGUUGUCAAAACAAAAAUCAGGUAAGUUUUUCAAAUUAUUUAAUACACAUACAAAUGAUAAAGAUUCAUAUUAGUGUGUUUUGCAGAGGAAAACAAAUGGAAAGCCUUGUUCUGCUUGUUAAGAGAGUAAUUUGCUAUUGCAUCUGCAUGUACAUUGAAAAGUAAAUUUUCUCAAUUUUACUUCCCUUCUGAUUUUUGUUGCAGAAGCUUUUCAAUUGCAGGUUCAACCAUUGUUUCCAAGUCUUCAAAGUCGUGCUUUAACUUGUCGACCUUGUGAAUGAAAUCUCUGGUUAGCUGAGCAUCAUGAGCUGUUGCUUUUGAAACCCUCUCUAUUAACACAGCAGUUUCUUUUAGUUUUCCAUUUUCGGGAAGUUUUUCUGCCACCUCUGCUGAUAUGUUUUCUGCCAUUGUUGCAAACUUUUGUACUACAGCUGCUACACUUUCAACCUCUUCCCCAACAAUUUCUGCCUCACCUUCUAUCAUCUUCAGUUUCUCCCAUUUUUCCUUCCAGAAUGGUAGAAUGAGAGAUAACAUAGAGCCCAACAUCCAUUUUGCCCAAGAAGCAUAGUUGGCCCUUGGAGGAUCCACUGGUGGUACUGGUGCUUUACCCAUAUCAUCCUUUACCUUCACCAUGUUGGUAUCAAGAUUUCUUGUUCCACCAUUGGUAGUGAUCAUCAUCAACUUCAAUCCUCUUUGAUCCAUUGAAUACCCAUGUAAACCAAUCUUCUUAUCUGCUACAAUAGCACCUGCAGAACCGUAUCCAAGAGCAACAUUGCUAGAGCAACAAGUUCUGUAUCUAUAAUACAAUAGUUGAAGAAAACUUCUCCAAGAACUUCCUUUAGCAAGCAUGGUGAAAAUGGC